ACAUAUUUUAGAGCCUAAUUCAUUUUAAUUAAAAAUUAAAAUUACAUUCAAAUCCAAAUUCAAAAUUUUAAUGCUAAAAUUUAUCCUAAAAUAAAUUUAAUGUAAUCCAUCUCUACUUUAAUAAGCUGCACCUUGAUCUGAUUUUUAAUAUAAUUAUAUAUCAAAAUUAUAUAUUUCAAAAAAUAAUUAACAACGACGAUAUACAAGCAAAAUUAAAGUUUUAUUAAUCGUGGAUUAUCGAUUACAGGACAGAUUCCCCUGAUUGGAAUAAAAAACCGCCAAAUUUUUUGAUUUUAAAGAACAUAACUAACAUUUAUCAGGUCUAAAACUCCACAUCUAGAAUAAUGGGGUAUCUAAUCCCAGUUUAUUAUCUAGAUUUCUUAACUUCAUAAUCAAAAAUUUAAUUAAUUAAAAAAUAGGAUUUCACCCAAUAUUCACUAAAAUAAAAAUUAAUUUCUAUUAACUAAGUAUAAAACCGAAAAAAAAUAAUAGCAUUAUUUGUCUAACCGCA
rnacentral:rRNA from 1 species